AGGCCCCAACCCCAUUUGGCUCUUAAUUUGAACUCCCUCAAAAAGUUCAUCUCUAUUAUUCCUUGAAAGAAACCCUAGCUUCCAUUACAGCAGCCACCUCGUUUUCUUCUUUAUGUUUGACAUCUUGCUCAUCACAAAUCUCCCCCAAGUAUCUGCACUCCACUCUGCAAAACGAAACCCAAAUGCUUGGUUUACGAAUCCAUUUCCACGGGUUGCCUUGAAGAUGCCAUUAGGAAGAUCGAUUUGUAGAUGUGGUGGGAUGCAAGGCUGCGAAUCUCACUACACUUCACCAUCACUAUCUCACCCCGAACCACCACCGUGUUACUCCAUCUCAGAACUCUUCCGUCUCGUACUGUUAUAUUAGUUGUUCAGUUGCGUGUUUUUUAGUUGUAGUUUGUAUUCGUUAUUCAGGUUCGGUUGUAUACGUACAUAUGUGUUGAGGUUUUGAUAAAUUUGUGAAAUUGUGCUUUGGAUUGUUUUGAUUUCAUGUUUGAUUUUCGAUUUGGUACCCUAUGGGUGGAAUCGGAAGAAUCGGUGCUCGAAUUUUUAUUUGACUGCUACUUCUCACAAUGGGAAUUUGGUGGUUGAACAAUUAGAGAGAGACGUUGCUGAGCUACCGCAGGCCCUUACUUGCAAACAGGAACGGGAGAAUGCCAUGCUUCAGGUUUUGAUGAGAGUAGAGCAAGAACAAAGGCCAAUCUCUCGGAUAUGACGAGCAAGAUGCUACAGCCUAGAGAUAUGCUGAAAUGGAGGAUAUACUUGUUAUGGCAGAAUUGAUGUCGGAGGCUUACCUUGCAAUACCAAUCUGGCCAACAUAAGGCACUACCUUCCCCAAGGUCAGAGAUGAAGCUUUCCUCAAAAGCAUUCUAAACUCUAUCGAGACUGUAGCAAGAGGAAGGGUCCAGAGCUUACCAAAUGAUCUAGUUGGUGGUACAGAGAUUGGACCAGAAUGGUGUGAGGUAAACGUUCAAGUACCAAUAAAAAAAAGAUGAAAACUUGGUAAGACCAGAUGGUUUAUUUUCUACAAUUCAAGAUUGUAUUGGUGCAUCCAUUGCAUGACCCUAUCCAUUCAUCUCGGUAGUCCAUGAGGAUUAAGGACACAUGAUGACUCAAGAUUUUAUACGUCUUAUUUCUUUAAUUGCUUUUAAUUUCUUUGUUAAAUGUUAAGAUUUUAUGUUAGAUAAUGUUAUAACUUAUUUAUGGUUAGUGUUUUUGGUAUGAA